GCCUUUGUCUCCCGUCCGCGGCCGGCGUCCUCCUGAAGCCCCGCCGCCCGCCCGCCGUGACCACGCCACCGCCCGACCACGCCCAGCCGCCCGCCCCAUCUGGCAUCCGACGACCGCGCUGCUACCCCUGCACGGCCUGCCGCCUGGCUUGCUAGCUUCCUAUUUCCUAAUUCCUAAUGUUGUGCUGUGAGUAUAAAUAUUUGUCUCUCUCUCGGUUAGUCACUUUGUUAUGAUUGCUGGAAGCUAAGAAGCUUAGAAUGUUAUUAGAAAUUUAGAAUGAAAAAUAUUUACUCAUUAUUUACUUGUUAAUUUUUAUUAUAGGAUUUAUCUUGGGCUAUUUUUAUUUGGGUAAAACUUGAAGAGGAAAGGGGCUAUUUUUAUUUGUUGAAUUAUUGCUUAGUCACAUAUAUUGAGCAAGACAUCUUCUCCAAAAUUAGUGAGGAAGAGAUAAUUGACUCUUUUAUGUCUAAGGCCAAGCAUAGGUUGAAAUCUAAAUAGUUGCAAUGUAAUUUCCUAUUUAUGUGUACCAUCUUUUGAAUUUAAACUAUGUAUUUGAACUAUUUGUAGUCUUUGAACAUUUUGAACUUGUUAAAUUAGUCUAUUAUUGAAGUUGUAAUAUGUUAAUUCUAUAUUUAUCAUAUUUUAACUUAAUUUGUACCCAUAUAAAUGAUUGUGGUGUUCAAUUUCUUUUGGCCCGUCGACUGGCGAUGUUG
rnacentral:lncRNA from 1 species